GCUUAGAUGGAUCAUCCACCGCAAUGAAGCACCCAAAACAACCUCUGCUCUGUUACAAACCAGGAUUAACCAAGUGCAUGAUCGGUAUCAAGUAUCAACUAUAACAACUUAAUCCUUAAAUCUACCAGCUGGAAGAAAAAGCCAUCAAUUUUGCAGCCAUAAUAAUAUAAAAAUCUGAGAAUAAUUGAAAAAAAAAGGGAAGCUUCAAAAUGUGUGAUGUUGAAGAUAAUCAAUGAGUGGUUGCACAUGAAACAUAGUGACAUUGACAUAUCAAUCAUUUUCCUGAGUCUAGAUGACAUGAACUACAAAUAUGACCACGGGGCAGGUGAAUAAUGCAAAUUACGCCAGGCAAACAGCUAAACCUUUGGUGGCGAAGGGGCGAUAUCUACGCUUAAUCUCCAAUGAGUAGGGGAUCAAAUUUGUGCAGUAACUAAAAGCAAACAUGCAAAUAUCAAUCAAGCCCAUUUUCCCUAAUACAUAAAUGCAGGGAAGGUAAAUUAUGCAAAUUGCACCAGCUUAAUCUCCAACAUGUAGAGGAUCAUAUUUUGUGCAGGAACUAAAUGCAAUUACAAAAAUCACUUAAGCCCAUUUUACUAAAGUUUCAAUACAGAGAAACAUACAAAAGAAAAGUCGUCUCUCACACUGAAGAGAGCUUUGCAUUUAGCCUUGAAUGUGUCCAUCAGCCAGUGUGUUAGAGCACGUAAAUAAGCUCCAGAAAAGAAAACAAACGAACAAAAUGGUUUCUUCCCAAAACAUCUCUCAGUCUGAGGUAAUAAACAACACCUAGGGUUCAUAGCUCCCGUGGAACCUCAAAUCCCAAAAGCAAAACAAAAUCUCUUGUGUCAUGCAAUCAGCUAUCCAAUGCUUCAAGCAAAGAAUGCCCCUCAAAAUCGAAAAAGUCCCCUAAAACCGUUUCCCCCUUCCCUCCGUACGUCUCAUCUUAUAGCUCGCUUACACAACAAGUAAGCACUAAACAUAUCCCAAAGAUUCUAUACUUAAAGAUAAAAGCAAACUUGAACUACACAAACAAAGCAUUGACAACAUUGUUUUAUAACCAAGAGAGCUAAGAGCUAAAUGUGAUAAUAUCCACUCAAACAAACAGCUUAAAAGGUACAAACUUUUUUCCUUGCAGUAAAAAAAAAAUAUGAAGAAGAAGAACUGACCCCAUGCAAGCAAAAAGGGCAGAGAUCCAAGUGGGAAGGUAACCAGAAGAUUGCAUCUAAAAUCCCCAAAGCAAAGCCAAAAUUCCAGGAAAGAAAAGAUUUAAAUUCCUGCAAGGUUAAAAAAAAAAUCAAUACUUUUUGCUUUUCUUUUUUAAAAUCUUUUCCCCGGACUUUUUUCCUAGAAAAUGAAACAAGGAAAAAAAAGGGGUUUUCUGAAAAGAAAGAAGACCUUGAAAACGGCAUGUUUAGAAAUGGAUACGGAUAUUUCGUGAUUAAAACGUAAAUCUUGUUACUGGAAAGACGUUGGUUUCCAGCUCCUUCAGUUACCAAAGGGCUCUCGUUCAGUUCUCCUUUGUAGCCUCCUAAAUUAAUCUGUUUUCUAGUUUUAUUGAAUGGCUU
rnacentral:lncRNA from 1 species